rnacentral:misc_RNA from 1 species
UUUCCGUAGGUGAACCUGCGGAAGGAUCAUUAAAGAAUUUGCCCCGUCCUCUCGAGGAUGGGUCCUCUUCUAAACCGUGUAUACAUACCUUUGUUGCUUUGGCGGGCCGCCGUCUCGGCGUUGGCUUCGGCUGACUGUGCCCGCCAGAGAACCCCAACUCUUCUGUUUAGUAUUGUCUGAGUACUAUAUAAUAGUUAAAGCUUUCAACAACGGAUCUCUUGGUUCUG